AAGGUAUAGAUUUUAUUCUUGAAAUUGUUUCUUACUCAAAGUAGAAAUUAAGAAAAUGUUUGAGCCUUCUGGGAAGCCUUCAGAAGGCUGCAGAAUGUAAAAUAAUUGUGUGGCUCUUUCUAAACAGACUUAGACUUUUUAGGCCAUGGUAAUUAUUUUGCUAAUGAUUAAAAUGAAAGCCCUUAACAUGGUGAACUACUACAAGCCUAAUUAGGAGAUGGGUAUGGAUGGUCCUUACAGCAUUAAUGCCUUAAAGAUAGUAUUUUUUAUUUCAUUGUGGGUUCAUUAGAUAACAUCCUGAUUGGCAGCUUACUUAACUGAUAAUAUAGCUAAAAAAUGUGAAAGUAUCUACUAGAAUUCAAGUUAAUUGACUUGCAAAAGGGUAUUGUAAAUUUGGUGCCAGUGCUUAAGAUUUAUACUCAGUAUAUUUCUGGCAUUCUGAAUAUUUCAAAGCUCUGUCU
rnacentral:lncRNA from 1 species